GCUCGCCUGUGUCUCAGCUCUCUCUACGCCCAUCAGAUCUCCAGCUCUCGAAGAGGAAAAACCUAGAAGCCUACCGGACACCUUAACUUAUUCGAAAAUAACUUAGUCGCGAUUUUGAUUUUUUCUUUCGGGACUUAGUCUCAAUCUCUAUUAAGAGAGCUGUAUCAACAUUAACACUUUAAUAAAGUGCUACCAUCCAGCAACCUCUGACUCUUUGGCCAUUCUCUGCGCUGCCUUGCCACUUCUUCAGGUUCUCACCGAGGUCGAGCAACCCAGGGAAGGAGCAGCGGUGCCUGCAUUCAUCCAUUGAUCCCGUCAUCCGGUACCUUUCUACGCAUCAUCAUGGUUAACCCCCGCCGAACUUCUUCCGUUGGACGCGAAAUUCCCCU